rnacentral:rRNA from 1 species
AUUGAACGCUGGCGGCAGGCCUAACACAUGCAAGUCGAACGAGCGGCGGACGGGUGAGUAAUGUCUGGGGAACUGCCUGAUGGAGGGGGAUAACUACUGGAAACGGUAGCUAAUACCGCAUACUAUCGGAUGUGCCCAUAUGGGAUUAGCUAGUAGGUGGGGUAACGGCUCACCUAGGCGACGAUCACUACAUGGUCUGCGAGGAUGACCAGCCACACUGGGACUGAGACACGGCCCAGACUCCUACGGGAGGCAGCAGUGGGGAAUAUUGCACAAUGGGCGCAAGCCUGAUGCAGCCAUGCCGCGUGUAUGAAGAAGGCCUUAGGGUUGUAAAGUACUUUCAGCGGGGAGGCGUUACCCGCAGAAGAAGCACCGGCUAACUCCGUGCCAGCAGCCGCGGUAAUUC